AAAGCUUUCAAGGAAGGAGAUGGGAUAUGGAGCUCUGGGGUGGGAAUUGUGUGGAAUUGUACCCCUCUUAUCCUAUGGUCUUGUCAAAAUUUUCAUUUUAUAAAUAAAUUUUUUUUAAAAAGGCCUGGGUAGGGAUAGGGACAGACUGAUUAGAAGGGGAUGAGAUAUUCCUUCUUUCUUAGCUGUGAGCCACCCCAUAUUUUAGGCCUUUCCCCCCCAAAUUUACAGGGCUUAAGAGAGAGGAUUAUACAACUGAGGUUGCAUGGCUGCGACAAGAAUGGUAAACUGUACCCCAGACAGAGACUGCUGGAGAAACUAUAGCCCUGUCUAUUUCUGGACAGUCACCAGCAUUCCCCCUUCCUGUUUUGUGUGUGUUGUUUGUUGAUGGGUCAGAUGGACACAUCUGAAGGUCCUCACAGAGGCUCCUGACCCCCGACAUGCAAUUUUGGCUUGUAGAACUCAGAGCCACCCGAGGACACUGGGGCCCUUCAGAGGAAAGGGCAGGCUCAGCACUGCCUCCACUUGAAUGUUGGCUCCUGUUACUGUGGCACCAUGUGACAUGGCUGCUACAAUUGGGUCAGAGUGUCUGCGGGGGCUCAGCCCUCACUUGGCAGUGCAGCUGGGGCUGCUCAGGGCCUCCAGGUGCAUAGAAUUGGGGCACCACACCCUGUUGCUCUGAUCUCUGCUGGCCCCAGUGCAAGAGUCGUGACACCACCUGGGGGCAUCUCUCUUGGGGCUCAUCCAGCCAUGAGUCUGGGCUCAUCUUGCAGGGCUCUGCUGCGCACACCUGCCCUGCCUGGAUGACACUCCAGGCCAUGUCAGACUCUACCUGGAGACCUUCUCAAGACUCAGUCCUGUCUCGCACCCCAUGGGAAAGCCCACUCACCUUCCUGGGUUUCACUUUGUCGUGGUAGUCAUACUGGAAGAUUCCUUUGUAGCUCAGUCCCAGCCACCAUGGGAUGCCCUGUUUGUCCUAGGACAUCAGAAUGGAAGUGGUUAUUGCUGCUUCCACUAUGAAUCCACUGCUCCUGGAGCCUUGUGUAUACACAAUUACACUGUCUCUGGAUUGACAAGCACCACCCCCACCAUUCUUUUUGGAGAGACACCACGAUAGCAGUCCACCAUCCAUGAAGUCCACCCCCAUGCUGUGUUUAGUGCUCCCAUGUGGUGCUGGGGCUUGAACCGAGGCCCUUGUGUAUGGUGAGGCAAUGCCCUUCUGGGUGUUACUGUCUAACUCCCUCACUCACAUUUUCUGUUUCAGUUAGAUCACUUUUCAGAAGUAACAUGUUCUAUCCACUCAUGUCCUAGGCCACGAAGCAGAGGUGGCGGGGGGGGGGGGGGAUGUUUGCUCAAUGAUCACCUUAACCUUCAGUGACAAAUUCAUUUUAGAGUUCCAAAAUUUGACACAUAUAUGAUUUUCUGUAUUUCUAGAAAUCCACAGGUUGGGGAUCAGCUAGGAGGGUCUUUUCUAGUGUUGGAAGGUCAUUCAUGGGGAGGGCUGUCUGGGCAUCCUCUGUUGAGAAAGGGGUGGCACUGGCUGCAUUCCUCCAGGGCCCCCAUACCCAAGUCUUCUCCUUACAGAACUCUCUGGGGCACCCUUCUGGGGCUGACCCAGCCCCUGCACACCUGUGCUUGUGGUUCUUAUUUCAAGGAAACAGGGAAAAGAGCACUCUGCCUGCCAGUUGGGAUUUAGUGAGGGUCUCCUGCAGACCCAAGCAGUGCCAGCUGGGGUCCAGGGAGGGAGGCCUGGCCAGAGGGACCCCUUAUAUCCCAGGGCCACCACUUACCAGUAGGCCAGAGAUGGGUGCUCCUUCAGAGCCUGUGUGGGGAGGGCUGGCAGUUUCUUCAAGUCGCUCCUCACCACUUCAUUGCU